GGGGCAAAAUUUAAGCUUGUGAUCUAUCAAUAUGAGAUAAUGGAUCUAACUCCUGAAUUUUUAGUCAUAAACAUGAAAGGGCAUUACAAUGUAUGAGGCUUUCACCGUUGUGGGUGGUUUAGAGAGAUUGAGAUAUACACAACCUUAUGUUCACAUAUAGAGGUGCUGUUUUCCUGAUAUCUAGUUCGCAGUGGAGCAACUUUACGAUUGCAAUAAGGUCUGCCCUCUUCCUCAAACAUGAAUACACGACCCAGAAUUAAGACAUGUAGAAAAUUCCAUUUAAUAUACAUAGGUGAAUUGAUAUAGGGUGCGAUUGAAAGCAUGGAUAA
rnacentral:lncRNA from 1 species